rnacentral:lncRNA from 1 species
AUGGAAACUGCACCGGAGUUUCUGCUGUAUACCAGGACAGCCAGAACUGACAAAAGAAAAAAAAAAAAAGAAAAAAAAAAGAGAAAAAAAAAGAGAAAAGAAAAAAGAGAAAGCUUUGUGAACUCAAAUUGCCAUCUGUCCCCUAGGUUGUGUUCUUUCUCAUCUCAUCACUUUUAUAUUUGGCAACCUAAAUGUAGUUCACAAUUGUGCUUGCGUGUAAACCAGAGGAAAACCCAAGGUAUGCUUCUCCUCAAAAUUCCACGGUAACAUAAGCAAAGCUUACCAGUAAAAAGAAUUGGCUUUCUCUGUGCUGCAUACUUUGUUCACAGUUUAUCUAGAGUUAAGUGUGCUUGGAAGAGGGUUGCAGUUCAGGUAUAUCUCUCCAAGAUAGUCUCAGUUAUUCUAACUCACCCGCAGUACCAUUAAGCAGUAAAAACUCUGUUUAGUCUUCAGUCUAAGCAUACCAAAGUGAGUAUGUGUGCAAACUCCACUCUUGCUGGCUAUGUGAUCGCUGCUUUCCCUGUAUAUACAAAGUUAGCUGGAAGCUAGCCAAACAGCCUAAUCCAAAUCCUUCUGAAAUUAAUUAAAUGGAUUCUAGUCAGUGACAUAAACUUUGGAUGAAGCUGUGCUACUUUCUGCCUUCGGUAGUCUUUAGCCUUCCUUUGUGUUUAUAAGGUAAUAUGCACUGUGUGAAAAUGUUGCUGUAAAAAAAAAAAAGUGUAAAAUGAAGUAACACUUGAAACAAAACUCUGUACGUUUCUAGAUGCAAUCCAUAUGUUAGAUUCCGUUAGCAAUCUCAUUGGCAUAGACACUGUGAAGAAGUGGCACUGUUUCUGGAUUUACCAUGAUAACACUGAACAGAUUUUACUUGAAGCUGAAAUGGGGUAGAACAAACUCUCAGAGUUAGUCAUUUUAAAUUGAACAUGAAGGUUAAUAUUAGAUAUCUUGACUAGAUGACUUCAUAUCAAAUUGGAUGAACUUUUCUAAAUUACAUUGGUGCUGAAAAUAAUCCAUGCUCAGUAUUUCUAGAAAUUAGAUCUUAUUAUCACAGUUCUUAAACCAGCUUGGAGAACACAGCAUUAGGAAAAAUAACUAUGAAAACUUCAGCUUCAGUGCCUUAAACAUCUGCACAAAAACUGAAGAGCUGACCAAUAGCAUGAAAUCAAGACAUGGGAGUCCUUACUGAUUCACUAACUUUAAAUACACUGAGGUUUCUAUAACAGUUCUACCAAAGUAAUGUUUUCUUUAGCUUAUUUCUUUUUAUCUUGUGUUAGCACAGCAAGUAGCAGAAUGUUGCUUUUUUUCCAUACUAAAAGCUCUUAAGUAUUACAGUAAGGCAAUUGCUUACAUCAGCUGUUGUUAAGACAUUGUUUAGCUCCAUAUCCCCUAAAUUGUAUGUGUAUGUAUAACAUGUAUUUGUCUUCAUGGUUUUAUUAUAGAAAGUAAAGAGGCUUGGAAUGUAUAAAAUAUAAUUGGUCAUCUGAGGCAUGUUACUGGCUGCACCCCAUGUGCACACCUCUAUCUCCUCCAUCCACUUCUCCAGACAAAGUUCAUUAUUUUGCUCUGUAGCUUUCCUUGGUUUACAAGACAUAGCAUAUCCCUCAUGUUCAUUUGCACAAUAAAAAGACCAUUUUUUAAAUUACCUAUGUGUAU